rnacentral:rRNA from 1 species
ACUGCUAUCGGAUUGAUACUAAGCCAUGCGAGUCAUUGUAGCAAUACAAGGCAGACGGCUCAGUAACGCGUAGUCAACCUAACCUAUGGACGGGAAUAACCUCGGGAAACUGAGAAUAAUGCCCGAUAGAACACUAUGCCUGGAAUGGUUUGUGUUCCAAAUGAUUUAUCGCCGUAGUAUGGGACUGCGGCCUAUCAGUUUGUUGGUGAGGUAAUGGCCCACCAAGACUAUUACAGGUACGGGCUCUGAGAGGAGUGGCCCGGAGAUGGGUACUGAGACACGGACCCAGGCCCUAUGGGGCGCAGCAGGCGAGAAAACUUUGCAAUGUGCGAAAGCACGACAAGGUUAAUCCGAGUGGUUUCUGCUAAAGGAACCUUUUGUCGGUCCUAGAAACACCGAUGAAUAAGGGGUGGGCAAGUUCUGGUGUCAGCCGCCGCGGUAAAACCAGCACCUCAAGUGGUCAGGAUGAUUAUUGGGCCUAAAGCAUCCGUAGCCUGCUUUGUUAGUUUUCGGUUAAAUCUGUACGCUCAACGUACAGGCUGCCGGGAAUACUGCAAAGCUAGGGAGUGGGAGAGGUAGACGGUACUCGGUAGGAAGGGGUAAAAUCCUUUGAUCUAUUGAUGACCACCUGUGGCGAAGGCGGUCUACCAGAACACGUCCGACGGUGAGGGAUGAAAGCUGGGGGAGCAAACCGGAUUAGAUACCCGGGUAGUCCCAGCUGUAAACCAUGCAAACUCAGUGAUGCAUUGGCUUGUGGCCAAUGCAGUGCUGCAGGGAAGCCGUUAAGUUUGCCGCCUGGGAAGUACGUACGCAAGUAUGAAACUUAAAGGAAUUGGCGGGGGAGCACCACAAGGGGUGAAG